GUGUGACUGCGUACCUUUUGUAUAAUGGGUCAGCGACUUAUAUUCUGUAGCAAGGUUAACCGAAUAGGGGAGCCGAAGGGAAACCGAGUCUUAACUGGGCGUUAAGUUGCAGGGUAUAGACCCGAAACCCGGUGAUCUAGCCAUGGGCAGGUUGAAGGUUGGGUAACACUAACUGGAGGACCGAACCGACUAAUGUUGAAAAAUUAGCGGAUGACUUGUGGCUGGGGGUGAAAGGCCAAUCAAACCGGGAGAUAGCUGGUUCUCCCCGAAAGCUAUUUAGGUAGCGCCUCGUGAAUUCAUCUCCGGGGGUAGAGCACUGUUUCGGCAAGGGGGUCAUCCCGACUUACCAACCCGAUGCAAACUGCGAAUACCGGAGAAUGUUAUCACGGGAGACACACGGCGGGUGCUAACGUCCGUCGUGAAGAGGGAAACAACCCAGACCGCCAGCUAAGGUCCCAAAGUCAUGGUUAAGUGGGAAACGAUGUGGGAAGGCCCAGACAGCCAGGAUGUUGGCUUAGAAGCAGCCAUCAUUUAAAGAAAGCGUAAUAGCUCACUGGUCGAGUCGGCCUGCGCGGAAGAUGUAACGGGGCUAAACCAUGCACCGAAGCUGCGGCAGCGACGCUUAUGCGUUGUUGGGUAGGGGAGCGUUCUGUAAGCCUGCGAAGGUGUGCUGUGAGGCAUGCUGGAGGUAUCAGAAGUGCGAAUGCUGACAUAAGUAACGAUAAAGCGGGUGAAAAGCCCGCUCGCCGGAAGACCAAGGGUUCCUGUCCAACGUUAAUCGGGGCAGGGUGAGUCGACCCCUAAGGCGAGGCCGAAAGGCGUAGUCGAUGGGAAACAGGUUAAUAUUCCUGUACUUGGUGUUACUGCGAAGGGGGGACGGAGAAGGCUAUGUUGGCCGGGCGACGGUUGUCCCGGUUUAAGCGUGUAGGCUGGUUUUCCAGGCAAAUCCGGAAAAUCAAGGCUGAGGCGUGAUGACGAGGCACUACGGUGCUGAAGCAACAAAUGCCCUGCUUCCAGGAAAAGCCUCUAAGCAUCAGGUAACAUCAAAUCGUACCCCAAACCGACACAGGUGGUCAGGUAGAGAAUACCAAGGCGCUUGAGAGAACUCGGGUGAAGGAACUAGGCAAAAUGGUGCCGUAACUUCGGGAGAAGGCACGCUGAUAUGUAGGUGAAGUCCCUCGCGGAUGGAGCUGAAAUCAGUCGAAGAUACCAGCUGGCUGCAACUGUUUAUUAAAAACACAGCACUGUGCAAACACGAAAGUGGACGUAUACGGUGUGACGCCUGCCCGGUGCCGGAAGGUUAAUUGAUGGGGUCAGCGCAAGCGAAGCUCUUGAUCGAAGCCCCGGUAAACGGCGGCCGUAACUAUAACGGUCCUAAGGUAGCGAAAUUCCUUGUCGGGUAAGUUCCGACCUGCACGAAUGGCGUAAUGAUGGCCAGGCUGUCUCCACCCGAGACUCAGUGAAAUUGAACUCGCUGUGAAGAUGCAGUGUACCCGCGGCAAGACGGAAAGACCCCGUGAACCUUUACUAUAGCUUGACACUGAACAUUGAGCCUUGAUGUGUAGGAUAGGUGGGAGGCUUUGAAGUGUGGACGCCAGUCUGCAUGGAGCCGACCUUGAAAUACCACCCUUUAAUGUUUGAUGUUCUAACGUGGACCCGUAAUCCGGGUUGCGGACAGUGUCUGGUGGGUAGUUUGACUGGGGCGGUCUCCUCCUAAAGAGUAACGGAGGAGCACGAAGGUUGGCUAAUCCUGGUCGGACAUCAGGAGGUUAGUGCAAUGGCAUAAGCCAGCUUGACUGCGAGCGUGACGGCGCGAGCAGGUGCGAAAGCAGGUCAUAGUGAUCCGGUGGUUCUGAAUGGAAGGGCCAUCGCUCAACGGAUAAAAGGUACUCCGGGGAUAACAGGCUGAUACCGCCCAAGAGUUCAUAUCGACGGCGGUGUUUGGCACCUCGAUGUCGGCUCAUCACAUCCUGGGGCUGAAGUAGGUCCCAAGGGUAUGGCUGUUCGCCAUUUAAAGUGGUACGCGAGCUGGGUUUAGAACGUCGUGAGACAGUUCGGUCCCUAUCUGCCGUGGGCGCUGGAGAAUUGAGGGGGGCUGCUCCUAGUACGAGAGGACCGGAGUGGACGCAUCACUGGUGUUCGGGUUGUCAUGCCAAUGGCACUGCCCGGUAGCUAAAUGCGGAAGAGAUAAGUGCUGAAAGCAUCUAAGCACGAAACUUGCCCCGAGAUGAGUUCUCCCUGACUCCUUGAGAGUCCUGAAGGAACGUUGAAGACGACGACGUUGAUAGGCCGGGUGUGUAAGCGCAGCGAUGCGUUGAGCUAACCGGUACUAAUGAACCGUGAGGCUUAACCUU
rnacentral:rRNA from 1 species